rnacentral:rRNA from 1 species
UACAGAGGUCUCAAGCGUUGUUCGGAUUCAUUGGGCGUAAAGGGUGCGUAGGUGGCGCUGUAAGUCGGGUGUGAAAUUUCGGAGCUUAACUCCGAAACUGCAUUCGAUACUGCUGUGCUUGAGGACUGGAGAGGAGACUGGAAUUUACGGUGUAGCAGUGAAAUGCGUAGAUAUCGUAAGGAAGACCAGUGGCGAAGGCGGGUCUCUGGACAGUUCCUGACACUGAGGCACGAAAGCCAGGGGAGCAAACGGG